rnacentral:rRNA from 1 species
UACGGGGGGGGGGCAAGCGUUUGUUCGGAAUUACUGGGCGUAAAGGGCUCGUAGGCGGCCAACUAAGUCAGACGUGAAAUCCCUCGGCUUAACCGGGGAACUGCAUCUGAUACUGGAUGGCUUGAAUCCGGGAGAGGGAUGUGGAAUUCCUGGUGUAGCGGUGAAAUGCGCAGAUAUCAGGAGGAACACCGGUGGCGAAGGCGGGUCUCUGGGCAACAACUGACACUGAGGCACGAAAAGCCGGGGGGAGCGAACGGG